GACGUAGGGAGCGAGCGUUGUCCGGAUUCAUUGGGCGUAAAGGGCGCGUAGGCGGUUUGGCAAGGCGGAUGUGAAAUCCCGAGGCUCAACCUCGUGACUGCAUCCGAUACUGCCCGACUAGAGGUAGGUAGGGGAGAUCGGAAUUCCUGGUGUAGCGGUGAAAUGCGCAGAUAUCAGGAGGAACACCGGUGGCGAAGGCGGAUCUCUGGGCCUGACCUGACGCUGAGGCGCGAAAGCUAGGGGAGCGAACAGG
rnacentral:rRNA from 1 species